rnacentral:rRNA from 1 species
GAGUUUGAUCCUGGCUCAGAACGAACGUUGGCGGCGUGGAUUAGGCAUGCAAGUCGAACGAGAACCAGGUUUGUAGCAAUACCGACUUGGGGAAAGUGGCGAAAGGGGCAGUAAAGCGUGGGUAACCUACCCCGGGGACGGGGAUAGCUGCGGGAAACUGCAGGUAAUACCUGGCGAUUUGGUUGGGGGGCAUCUCCUGGCCAAGAAAUGAAUUUCGCCUCGGGAGGGGCUCACGUAGUAUUAGCUUGUUGGUGAGGUAACGGCUCACCAAGGCUAAGAUGCUUAGCGGGUGUGAGAGCACGACCCGCGCCACUGGCACUGAGACACUGGCCAGACACCUACGGGUGGCUGCAGUCGAGGAUCUUCCGCAAUGGGCGCAAGCCUGACGGAGCGACGCCGCGUGUGCGAUGAAGGCCUUCGGGUUGUAAAGCACAAAAGGAGGGAGAAAAGCGCAAGCUUGAUCGAACUCCAGUAAGCACGGGCUAAGUUCGUGCCAGCAGCCGCGGUAAGACGAACCGUGCAAACGUUGUUCGGAUUCACUGGGCUUAAAGGGCGCGUAGGCGGGUCAGCAAGUCCGGGGUGAAAUCUUUCGGCUCAACCGGAAAAGUGCCUUGGAUACUGCUGGUCUAGAGGGAGGUAGGGGCAGAGGGAACUUCCGGUGGAGCGGUGAAAUGCGUUGAUAUCGGAAGGAACGCCGGUGGCGAAAGCGCUCUGCUGGACCUCUUCUGACGCUGAGGCGCGAAAGCUAGGGGAGCGAACGGGAUUAGAAACCCCGGUAGUCCUAGCCGUAAACGAUGUCG